rnacentral:rRNA from 1 species
GACGAACGCUGGCGGCGUGCCUAAUACAUGCAAGUCGAGCGGAUUGAUGGGAGCUUGCUCCCUGAUAUCAGCGGCGGACGGGUGAGUAACACGUGGGCAACCUGCCUAUAAGACUGGGAUAACUUCGGGAAACCGGAGCUAAUACCGGAUAAUCCCUUUCCUCUCAUGAGGAAAGGCUGAAAGAUGGUUUACGCUAUCACUUAUAGAUGGGCCCGCGGCGCAUUAGCUAGUUGGUGAGGUAACGGCUCACCAAGGCAACGAUGCGUAGCCGACCUGAGCGGGUGAUCGGCCACACUGGGACUGAGACACGGCCCAGACUCCUACGGGAGGCAGCAGUAGGGAAUCUUCCGCAAUGGACGAAAGUCUGACGGAGCAACGCCGCGUGAGUGAUGAAGGCUUUCGGAUCGUAAAACUCUGUUGUUAGGGAAGAACAAGUACGAGAGUAACUGCUCGUACCUUGACGGUACCUAACCAGAAAGCCACGGCUAACUACGUGCCAGCAGCCGCCGUAA